CCUGCGGAGACAAAUAGAAGGUAAUUUGAUAUUUCCGUGGCCAACAAAAGAAAUUAAUAACGGAAGUGACGGUGGCGCAUAAACAUAAUGAAUGAGCAGUAGGUUAUGGUGGUUAUGGUUACGAAUUUCGCUCUGUUUAUGGGCAUUGGGUAAAUAUACCCGAAAAGGCAAAUAUUUGUGGCCCACAAAUAGGUAAACAUUUGGCCAGCAAACUUCAAAAUACACAUUCCCGACUGACCCCACAUUUAUAACCACCAGUAAGGUAUAUUUCGCCUGGGUCGAAGUGGGCACAAACACCGAUAAGAUAAGCGCCGUUUGGAAAGGAGAAUGGUGGCUUGAUCGGUAUCGUGAACUGGGGAAGAGGCACCUUAAACUUCAACUAGGUAGUUAUCAUAAGGCGAACUCAUCGAGAGUUGUGUAUAUGUAGGCUAUUUUAACAACUCACCUCAGCAGAUAGUGGUCAUCCUGCAGUCGCCCCCUGCUGCCGACAUGGGGAUGGAUGAAGUACGUCUGCCUGCCAUCGAAAACGAUGCCAUCGAGAGCACCAUCACAGGUGGAGAGCGCUACCACGGAGUCUGGUUGACCACGAAUGUGUCCCUGUGAUGGGAAAAGCAAAUAAGAAAUCACAAAUAUUAACCAUUAAUUCUAUUUAGUUAAAACUGAGCAAUAAAUUAGUCUGAAAUUAGACUGUCACAUACCUGA